rnacentral:rRNA from 1 species
GACGAACGCUGGCGGCGUGCUUAACACAUGCAAGUCGAGCGGUAAGGCCCUUUCGGGGGGUACACGAGCGGCGAACGGGUGAGUAACACGUGGGUGACCUGCCCUCAGCUCUGGGAUAAGCCUGGGAAACCGGGUCUAAUACCUGGAUAUGACUCCAUGACGCAUGUUGUGGGGUGGAAAGCCUUGUGCGGCUGAGGAUGGGCCCGCGGCCUAUCAGCUUGUUGGUGGGGUGANGGCCUACCAAGGCGACGACGGGUAGCCGGCCUGAGAGGG